rnacentral:lncRNA from 1 species
GUCCAAGUUUGGUAGAAAUCCAGGAUAGUUUAAGAAAGUUAUUUAAAUUUUAAAAACUUUAACCACAGAGUGUAUGUAAUGUUUUCCCGCAGAAAAACUAAGUCCAUUUAUAAGUAAAAUACGGAAAAAAUGGAAUUUUAUUUUCACAAAAUUUACUUCUGGAUACUAUCUUAUGAUCAUAAACAAGCUUCUGUCCAAUUUUGGUAGAAAUCCAGUAUGGUUUAAGAAAGUUAUUAAAAUUUCAAAAACUUUAACCACAGAGUGAAUAUUUGUGGACGCCGCCGACGACACCGACGACGACGGA